GAUGAACGCUGGCGGCGUGCCUAACACAUGCAAGUCGAGCGAUCUUCUUCGGAAGAGAGCGGCGGACGGGUGAAUAACGCGUGGGUAACCUGCCUCAUACACAUGGAUAACAUACCGAAAGGUAUGCUAAUACAAGAUGAUAUAAGAGAUUCGCAUGGAUUUCUUAUCAAAGCUCCGGCGGUAUGAGAUGGACCCGCGUCUGAUUAGCUAGUUGGUAAGGUAACGGCUUACCAAGGCGACGAUCAGUAGCCGACCUGAGAGGGUGAUCGGCCACAUUGGAACUGAGACACGGUCCAAACUCCUACGGGAGGCAGCAGUGGGGAAUAUUGCACAAUGGGCGAAAGCCUGAUGCAGCAACGCCGCGUGAGUGAUGAAGGCCUUCGGGUCGUAAAACUCUGUCCUCAAGGAAGAUAAUGACGGUACUUGAGGAGGAAGCCCCGGCUAACUACGUGCCAGCCGCCGCCGUAAGAC
rnacentral:rRNA from 1 species